rnacentral:rRNA from 1 species
AUUGAACGCUGGCGGCAUGCUUUACACAUGCAAGUCGAACGGCAGCGCGGGGCAACCUGGCGGCGAGUGGCGAACGGGUGAGUAAUACAUCGGAACGUACCCAGAAGUGGGGGAUAACGUAGCGAAAGUUACGCUAAUACCGCAUACGUUCUACGGAAGAAAGUGGGGGAUCUUCGGACCUCAUGCUUUUGGAGCGGCCGAUGUCUGAUUAGCUAGUUGGUGAGGUAAAGGCUCACCAAGGCGACGAUCAGUAGCUGGUCUGAGAGGUCGACCAGCCACACUGGGACUGAGACACGGCCCAGACUCCUACGGGAGGCAGCAGUGGGGAAUUUUGGACAAUGGGCGCAAGCCUGAUCCAGCAAUGCCGCGUGAGUGAAGAAGGCCUUCGGGUUGUAAAGCUCUUUUGUCAGGGAAGAAACGGCUCAGGCUAAUAUCUUGGGCUAAUGACGGUACCUGAAGAAUAAGCACCGGCUAACUACGUGCCAGCCGCCGCCGUAACAC